rnacentral:rRNA from 1 species
UACGUAGGUGGCAAGCGUUGUCCGGAUUUACUGGGCGUAAAGAGCGCGCAGGCGGUCGUUCAAGUCGCGUGUGAAAGCCCCCGGCUCAACUGGGGAGGGUCACGCGAUACUGAUCGACUCGAAGGCAGGAGAGGGUAGUGGAAUUCCCGGUGUAGUGGUGAAAUGCGUAGAUAUCGGGAGGAACACCGGUGGCGAAGGCGGCGACCUGGGCCAAUACUGACGCUGAGGUGCGAAAGCGUGGGGAGCAAACAGG